CAUUCUAAUGAUGAGGUUUAUUACCGCCCCAGUCUGAAUUUCAAUGAGUGAGUGGUUAUUUUAUUUUCACUGAAUU